ACGAAGCUGGCGGCGUGCCUAAUACAUGCAAGUAGAACGCUGAAGGAGGAGCUUGCUCUUCUGGAUGAGUUGCGAACGGGUGAGUAACGCGUAGGUAACCUGCCUGGUAGCGGGGGAUAACUAUUGGAAACGAUAGCUAAUACCGCAUAAGAGUAGAUGUCGCAUGACAUUUGCUUAAAAGGUGCAAUUGCAUCACUACCAGAUGGACCUGCGUUGUAUUAGCUAGUUGGUGAGGUAACGGCUCACCAAGGCAACGAUACUUAGCCUACCUGAGAGGUUGAUCGGCCACACUGGGACUGAUACACGGCCCAGACUCCUACGGGAGGCAGCUUUGUGGUAUCUUCUGCAAUGGACGGAUGUCUGACCGAGCAACGUCGCGGGAGUUUAGAAGUUUUCCGGAUCGUAUUGCUCUGUUUUAUGAGAAGAACGAUUGUGAGUGUAGAAUGUGGCACUUUUACGGUGUCUUACUGUUGGGGGUCUUGUUAUGUGUGUGUUUGCUUUUGGGUUUUCGGUGGUCCCUUGUUUUUGUGCUGAUUUGUUUGGGGCGGAAAGCUGUUGUGUGGUGUGUGUGAUAUGUGUGAAUGUUGAGGCUGUUGUGUUUUCUAUUUGUGUGU
rnacentral:rRNA from 1 species